rnacentral:piRNA from 1 species
GGAACUCGGCCAGGUGCUGAUCGGUGAGGU